rnacentral:rRNA from 1 species
UACAGAGGGUGCUAGCGUUGUUCGGAAUCAUUGGGCGUAAAGGGCGUGUAGGCGGUUUGUUAAGUCAUGUGUGAAAGCCCCCGGCUCAACCGGGGAACGACGCAUGAAACUGGCAAGCUAGAGUACCGAAGAGGGGGGUGGAAUUCCCGGUGUAGAGGUGAAAUUCGUAGAUAUCGGGAGGAACACCAGUGGCGAAGGCGACCAUCUGGACGGAUACUGACGCUGAGACGCGAAAGCGUGGGUAGCAAACAGG